rnacentral:rRNA from 1 species
GACGAACGCUGGCGGCGUGCCUAACACAUGCAAGUCGAACGGGGGUAUUUAUUUCGAUGAAUAACUUAGUGGCGAACGGGUGAGUAACGCGUGAGCAACCUAUCCUUAAGAGGGGGAUAACAUCUGGAAACAGAUGCUAAUACCGCAUAAGACCACACUGCCGCAUGGCAGAGGGGUCAAAGGAGCAAUCCGUUUAAGGAGGGGCUCGCGUCCCAUUAGAUAGUUGGGGAGGUAACAGCUCACCAAGUCAGCGAUGGGUAGCCGGGCUGAGAGGCUGAUCGGCCACACUGGAACUGAGACACGGUCCAGACUCCUACGGGAGGCAGCAGUGGGGAAUAUUGGGCAAUGGGGGGAACCCUGACCCAGCAACGCCGCGUGAGGGAAGAAGGCCUUCGGGUUGUAAACCUCUGUCAUUAGGGAAGAAGAAAGUGACGGUACCUAAUGAGGAAGCCCCGGCUAACUACGUGCCAGCAGCCGCGGUAAAAC